GGAAUCAUACAUGCUCUGGUAGGUUAGACAGGGAGGAAUCAUACAGGCUCUGGUAGGUUAGACAGGGAGGAAUCAUACAGGCUCUGGUAGGAUAGACAGGGAGGAAUCAUACAGGCUCUGGUAGGAUAGACAGGGAGGAAUCAUACAGGCUCUGGUAGGUUAGACAGGGAGGAAUCAUACAGGCUCUGGUAGGUUAGACAGGGAGGAAUCAUACAGGCUCUGGUAGGAUAGACAGGAAGGAAUCAUACAGGCUCUGGUAGGAUAGACAAGAAUGAAUCAUACAGGCUCUGGUAGGAUAGACAGGGAGGAAUUAUACAGGCUCUGGUAGGUUAGACAGGGAGGAAUCAUACAGGCUCUGGUAGGUUAGACAGGGAGGAAUCAUACAGGCUCUGGUAGGAUAGACAGGAAGGAAUCAUACAGGUUCUGGUAGGUUAGACAGGAAGGAAUCAUACAGGCUCUGGUAGGAUAGACAGGGAGGAAUCAUACAGGCUCUGGUAGGAUAGACAGGAAGGAAUCAUACAGGCUCUGGUAGGAUAGACAGGAAGGAAUCAUACAGGUUCUGGUAGGAUAGACAGGAAUGAAUCAUACAGGCUCUGGUAGGAUAGACAGGGAGGAAUCAUACAGGCUCUGGUAGGUUAGACAGGGAGGAAUCAUACAGGCUCUGGUAGGUUAGACAGGGAGGAAUCAUACAGGCUCUGGUAGGUUAGACAGGGAGGAAUCAUACAGGCUCUGGUAGGUUAGACAGGAAGGAAUCAUACAGGCUCUGGUAGGAUAGACAGGAAUGAAUCAUACAGGCUCUGGUAGGAUAGACAGGAAUGAAUCAUACAGGCUCUGGUAGGAUAGACAGGGAGGAAUCAUACAGGCUCUGGUAGGAUAGACAGGGAGGAAUCAUACAGGCUCUGGUAGGUUAGACAGGGAGGAAUCAUACAGGCUCUGGUAGGUUAGACAGGGAGGAAUCAUACAGGCUCUGGUAGGAUAGACAGGAAGGAAUCAUACAGGCUCUGGUAGGAUAGACAGGAAUGAAUCAUACAGGCUCUGGUAGGUUAGACAGGGAGGAAUCAUACAGGCUCUGGUAGGUUAGACAGGGAGGAAUCAUACAGGCUCUGGUAGGUUAGACAGGGAGGAAUCAUACAGGCUCUGGUAGGUUAGACAGGGAGGAAUCAUACAGGCUCUGGUAGGUUAGACAGGAAGGAAUCAUACAGGCUCUGGUAGGAUAGACAGGAAUGAAUCAUACAGGCUCUGGUAGGAUAGACAGGAAUGAA